GCCGAUGACUCGGGGAUAGCCUUUCGAAAGAAAGAUUAAUACCCGAUGGCAUAGUUCUUCCGCAUGGUGGAACUAUUAAAGAAUUUCGGUCAUCGAUGGGGAUGCGUUCCAUUAGGUUGUUGGCGGGGUAACGGCCCACCAAGCCUUCGAUGGAUAGGGGUUCUGAGAGGAAGGUCCCCCACAUUGGAACUGAGACACGGUCCAAACUCCUACGGGAGGCAGCAGUGAGGAAUAUUGGUCAAUGGACGAGAGUCUGAACCAGCCAAGUAGCGUGAAGGAUGACUGCCCUAUGGGUUGUAAACUUCUUUUAUACGGGAAUAAAGUGAGGCACGUGUGCCUUUUUGUAUGUACCGUAUGAAUAAGGAUCGGCUAACUCCGUGCCAGCAGCCGCGGUAAUACGGAGGAUCCGAGCGUUAUCCGGAUUUAUUGGGUUUAAAGGGAGCGUAGGCGGACGCUUAAGUCAGUUGUGAAAGUUUGCGGCUCAACCGUAAAAUUGCAGUUGAUACUGGGUGUCUUGAGUACAGUAGAGGCAGGCGGAAUUCGUGGUGUAGCGGUGAAAUGCUUAGAUAUCACGAAGAACUCCGAUUGCGAAGGCAGCUUGCUGGACUGUAACUGACGCUGAUGCUCGAAAGUGUGGGUAUCAAACA
rnacentral:rRNA from 1 species